rnacentral:rRNA from 1 species
AGAGUUUGAUCAUGGCUCAGGAUGAACGCUAGCGGCAGGCUUAAUACAUGCAAGUCGAGGGGCAGCAUGGUGUAGCAAUACACUGAUGGCGACCGGCAAACGGGUGCGGAACACGUACAGAACCUUCCUUCGAGCGGGGAAUAGCCCAGAGAAAUUUGGAUUAAUACCCCAUAGCAUAACAGAGUGGCAUCACUUUGUUAUUAAAGAUUUAUCACUUGAAGAUGGCUGUGCGGCUGAUUAGGUAGUUGGCGGGGUAACGGCCCACCAAGCCUGCGAUCAGUAACUGGUGUGAGAGCACGACCAGUCACACGGGCACUGAGACACGGGCCCGACUCCUACGGGAGGCAGCAGUAAGGAAUAUUGGUCAAUGGACGAAAGUCUGAACCAGCCAUGCCGCGUGGAGGAUGAAGGUCCUCUGGAUUGUAAACUUCUUUUAUCUGGGACGAAAAAAGGUCUUUCUAGAUCGUCUGACGGUACCAGAUGAAUAAGCACCGGCUAACUCCGUGCCAGCAGCCGCGGUAAUACGGAGGGUGCAAGCGUUAUCCGGAUUCACUGGGUUUAAAGGGUGCGUAGGUGGGUUGGUAAGUCAGUGGUGAAAUCUUCGAGCUUAACUCGGAAACUGCCAUUGAUACUAUCAGUCUUGAAUAUUGUGGAGGUUAGCGGAAUAUGUCAUGUAGCGGUGAAAUGCUUAGAUAUGACAUAGAACACCAAUUGCGAAGGCAGCUGGCUACACAUAUAUUGACACUGAGGCACGAAAGCGUGGGGAUCAAACAGGAUUAGAUACCCUGGUAGUCCAA